rnacentral:rRNA from 1 species
UGGGGAAUAUUGGACAAUGGGGGGAACCCUGAUCCAGCCAUGCCGCGUGUGUGAAGAAGGCCUUAUGGUUGUAAAGCACUUUAAGCGAGGAGGAGGGUACUGGUAUUAAUACUACCAGCUACUGGACGUUACUCGCAGAAUAAGCACCGGCUAACUCUGUGCCAGCAGCCGCGGUAAUACAGAGGGUGCGAGCGUUAAUCGGAUUUACUGGGCGUAAAGCGUGCGUAGGCGGCUAAUUGAGUCGGAUGUGAAAUCCCCGAGCUUAACUUGGGAAGUGCAUUCGAUACUGGUUAGCUAGAGUGUGGGAGAGGAUGGUAGAAUUCCAGGUGUAGCGGUGAAAUGCGUAGAGAUCUGGAAGAAUACCGAUGGCGAAGGCAGCCAUCUGGCCUAACACUGACGCUGAGGUACGAAAGCAUGGGGAGCAAACAGG